rnacentral:rRNA from 1 species
AGAUUGAACGCUGGCGGCAUGCCUUACACAUGCAAGUCGAACGGUAGAGUAGCAAUACUUGAGAGUGGCGAACGGGUGAGUAAUAUAUCGGAACGUGCCCAGUCGUGGGGGAUAACGUAGAGAAAUUUACGCUAAUACCGCAUACGAUCUAAGGAUGAAAGCGGGGGACCUAAGGCCUCGCGCGAUUGGAGCGGCUGAUAUCAGAUUAGGUGUUGGUGAGGUAAAAGCUCACCAAGCCGACGAUCUGUAGCUGGUUUGAGAGAACGACAGCCACACUGGGACUGAGACACGGCCCAGACUCCUACGGGAGCGGCGAGUGGGAUUUGGACAAGUGGGACGAAAGUCCUGACUCCGAGCAAUUGACCGCGUGACGAAGGAAGAAGGUCCGUUACGGGGUUCGUAAACUUCGUCGUUUUACGAACGGUAAACGAAACGGUCUA